GUUGAACGCUGGCGGCAGGCCUAACACAUGCAAGUCGAGCGGAGGAAGUUGGUUUUCUUCUGGAUUCAGCGGCGGACGGGUGGGUAAUUCCUGGGAGGCUGCCUGGCAUUGGGGGGGGACGUCCGGAAACGGGCGCUAAGACCGCAUACGUCCUGAGGGAGAAAGUGGGGGAUUUUGGGACCUCACGCUAUUAGAUUAGCCUAGGUCGGAUUAGCUAGUGGGUUGGGUAAAGGCCUACCAAGGGGACGAUCCGGAACUGGUCUGAGAGGAUGAUUAAUCAAACUGGACCUGGGCAACGCUCCAGCCUCCUACGGGAGGCAGCAGUGGGGAAUAUUGGAAAAUGGGCGAAAGCCUGCUCAAGCCAUGCGGCGUGUGUGAAGAAGGUCUUCGGAUUGUAAAGCCCUUUAAGUUGGGAGGAAGGGCAGUAAGUUAAUAACCUGCUGUUUUGACGUUACCAACAGAAUAAGCACCGGCUAACUUCGUG
rnacentral:rRNA from 1 species